ACGCCCAGCCUCCAUUCCGAACCUGGAAGCUAAGCCCGGCAGCGCCAAUGGUACUGCAACCGCCAGGUUGUGGGAGAGUAGGACACCGCCACAA
rnacentral:rRNA from 1 species